AUUCUGAGCCACACCAUCCUGCACACACCUGAUUUCAGAAACUAAGCUGGGUUGGGCCUGGUCAGGACUUGGAUGAGAGGAAGACCACUUGCAUGUUCUUUUUU
ensembl:rRNA 5S_rRNA 5S ribosomal RNA